rnacentral:ncRNA from 1 species
AAAAAGUUUUAUUUUGGCUUAAUACUUUGCUAUAUAUAUUAUAUAUAUGUGAAUUUAAUAUUAAAUAGAAUAACAGGCAGUAUAAAAUUUUAAAAUUUAGGGAAACCUAGAUUUAGGAAUAUAUAAUAGUAUAAACUAAACUUGUGCCAGCAGUUGCGGUUAUACAUGUUAUACAAGUUAAGAUUAUUUAAUAUAGUUAAUUGAAUAAUAUAAUAAUUUAUAAUUGAAUUUAUUAGGUGAAAUUUUAAAUUUAAUUUUUUUAUUUAAGUUUUAUUGAAGCUAGGAAAUUUAUUUUUAAACUAGGAUUAGAUACCCUAUUAUUUUAAAUGUAAUUUUUAUAGUUAAAAUUAUUAAUAGUUAUGGUCUUUAAAAUUAAAAAUUUUGGCGGUAUUUUAGUCUUUUCAGAGGAAUCUGUCUUUUAAUUGAUAAUCCACGAUUAAUUUUACUUUAGUUUUAAAUUUGUAUAUCGUCGUGAUUAGAAUAUUUUAUUAGAAUAAAAAUGUUCAGGGAUUUUUUAAGAAAAUAAAUCAGAUCAAGGUGCAGUUUAUAUUAAAGUUAAGAUGGAUUACAUUAUUUUUAAAUUUGGUUUUGAAUUUUAAAAGUUUAAUUAAAUUGGAUUUGAAAGUAAAUUUUUUCAUAUAAUAAUUUUGAAUUUGCUCUAAAAUAUGCACAUAUCGCCCGUCGCUUUCAUUAAGGUGAAAUAAGUCGUAACAAAGUAGGCUUAUUGGAAAAUGAGCCUAGAAUGAA